GCUAGGUGCAGGGGUGUGUGCGUGUAGUCCCAGCUGCUUGAAAGGCUGGGACGGAGGAUCACUCAGGCCCAGGAGUUUCAGACUGUAGUGGGUUAUGCUGAUUGGGUGUCUGCGCUAAGUUCAGCAUCAAUAUAAUGACCUCCCAGGAACGGGGACCACCAGGUUGCCUUAGGAAGUGUGAACCACCUCAGCUUGGGAACAGAGCAGGUUAAAAACACCUGUGCUGAUCAGUAGUGUGAUUAUGCCUGUGAACAGCCACUGUACACCAACCUAGUCAAUAGCAAGACCCUGUCUCU
rnacentral:SRP_RNA from 1 species